rnacentral:rRNA from 1 species
GAUGAACGCUGGCGGCGUGCUUAACACAUGCAAGUCGAACGAAGCACUUCAUAAAGCUUGCUUUAAGAAGUGACUUAGUGGCGGACGGGUGAGUAACGCGUGGGUAACCUGCCUUACACAGGGGGAUAACAGUUAGAAAUGACUGCUAAUACCGAAUAAGUUCCAAGAGCCGCAUGGCCCAUGGAAGAAAAGGUGGCCUCUACCUGUAAGCUAUCGCCUGAAGAGGGGUUUGCGUCUGAUUAGCUGGUUGGAGGGGUAACGGCCCGACCAAGGCGACGAUCAGUAGCCGGUCUGAGAGGAUGAACGGCCACACUGGAACUGAGACACGGCCCAGACUCCUACGGAGGCAGCAGUGGGGAAUAUUGCACAAUGGAGGAAACUCUGAUGCAGCGACGCCGCGUGAGUGAAGAAGUAGUUCGCUAUGUAAAGCUCUAUCAGCAGGGAAGAUAGUGACGGUACCUGACUAAGAAGCU